rnacentral:rRNA from 1 species
AGACCCGAAACCCGGUGAUCUAGCCAUGGGCAGGUUGAAGGUUGGGUAACACUAACUGGAGGACCGAACCGACUAAUGUUGAAAAAUUAGCGGAUGACCUGUGGCUGGGGGUGAAAGGCCAAUCAAACCGGGAGAUAGCUGGUUCUCCCCGAAAGCUAUUUAGGUAGCGCCUCGUGAAUUCAUCUCCGGGGGUAGAGCACUGUUUCGGCUAGGGGGCCAUCCCGGCUUACCAACCCGAUGCAAACUGCGAAUACCGGAGAAUGUUAUCACGGGAGACACACGGCGGGUGCUAACGUCCGUCGUGAAGAGGGAAACAACCCAGACCGCCAGCUAAGGUCCCAAAGUCAUGGUUAAGUGGGAAACGAUGUGGGAAGGCCCAGACAGCCAGGAUGUUGGCUUAGAAGCAGCCAUCAUUUAAAGAAAGCGUAAUAGCUCACUGGUCGAGUCGGCCUGCGCGGAAGAUGUAACGGGGCUAAACCAUGCACCGAAGCUGCGGCAGCGAACGUAUCACCCAAGACAACUUUACGGAGUUGACGAUUGACGGAGCGAAGCGACGUCAAAGCGUUCAUUAAAGUCGAGUUGGCUUAGGGAUACGUUCGUUGGGUAGGGGAGCGUUCUGUAAGCCUGUGAAGGUGUGUCGUGAGGCAUGCUGGAGGUAUCAGAAGUGCGAAUGCUGACAUAAGUAACGAUAAAGCGGGUGAAAAGCCCGCUCGCCGGAAGACCAAGGGUUCCUGUCCAACGUUAAUCGGGGCAGGGUGAGUCGACCCCUAAGGCGAGGCCGAAAGGCGUAGUCGAUGGGAAACGGGUUAAUAUUCCCGUACUUGGUGUUACUGCGAAGGGGGGACGGAGAAGGCUAUGUUGGCCGGGCGACGGUUGUCCCGGUUUAAGCGUGUAGGUGUGUGUUCCAGGUAAAUCCGGUUCACUUUAACACUGAGGCGUGACGACGAGGCACUACGGUGCUGAAGCAACAAAUGCCCUGCUUCCAGGAAAAGCCUCUAAGCAUCAGGUAACAUCAAAUCGUACCCCAAACCGACACAGGUGGUCAGGUAGAGAAUACCAAGGCGCUUGAGAGAACUCGGGUGAAGGAACUAGGCAAAAUGGUGCCGUAACUUCGGGAGAAGGCACGCUGACACGUAGGUGAAGUGAUUUACUCAUGGAGCUGAAGUCAGUCGAAGAUACCAGCUGGCUGCAACUGUUUAUUAAAAACACAGCACUGUGCAAACACGAAAGUGGACGUAUACGGUGUGACGCCUGCCCGGUGCCGGAAGGUUAAUUGAUGGGGUCAGCGCAAGCGAAGCUCCUGAUCGAAGCCCCGGUAAACGGCGGCCGUAACUAUAACGGUCCUAAGGUAGCGAAAUUCCUUGUCGGGUAAGUUCCGACCUGCACGAAUGGCGUAAUGAUGGCCAGGCUGUCUCCACCCGAGACUCAGUGAAAUUGAACUCGCUGUGAAGAUGCAGUGUACCCGCGGCAAGACGGAAAGACCCCGUGAACCUUUACUAUAGCUUGACACUGAACAUUGAGCCUUGAUGUGUAGGAUAGGUGGGAGGCUUUGAAGUGUGGACGCCAGUCUGCAUGGAGCCGACCUUGAAAUACCACCCUUUAAUGUUUGAUGUUCUAACGUGGACCCGUAAUCCGGGUUGCGGACAGUGUCUGGUGGGUAGUUUGACUGGGGCGGUCUCCUCCUAAAGAGUAACGGAGGAGCACGAAGGUUGGCUAAUCCUGGUCGGACAUCAGGAGGUUAGUGCAAUGGCAUAAGCCAGCUUGACUGCGAGCGUGACGGCGCGAGCAGGUGCGAAAGCAGGUCAUAGUGAUCCGGUGGUUCUGAAUGGAAGGGCCAUCGCUCAACGGAUAAAAGGUACUCCGGGGAUAACAGGCUGAUACCGCCCAAGAGUUCAUAUCGACGGCGGUGUUUGGCACCUCGAUGUCGGCUCAUCACAUCCUGGGGCUGAAGUAGGUCCCAAGGGUAUGGCUGUUCGCCAUUUAAAGUGGUACGCGAGCUGGGUUUAGAACGUCGUGAGACAGUUCGGUCCCUAUCUGCCGUGGGCGCUGGAGAACUGAGGGGGGCUGCUCCUAGUACGAGAGGACCGGAGUGGACGCAUCACUGGUGUUCGGGUUGUCAUGCCAAUGGCACUGCCCGGUAGCUAAAUGCGGAAGAGAUAAGUGCUGAAAGCAUCUAAGCACGAAACUUGCCCCGAGAUGAGUUCUCCCUGAGACUUAGAGUCUCCUGAAGGAACGUUGAAGACGACGACGUUGA